GACCUAUCAGCUUUCGACGGUAGUGUAUUGGACUACCGUGGCAGUGACGGGUAACGGGGAAUUAGGGUUCGAUUCCGGAGAGGGAGCCUGAGAAACGGCUACCACAUCUAAGGAAGGCAGCAGGCGCGCAAAUUACCCAAUCCUGACUCAGGGAGGUAGUGACAAGAAAUAACAACACUGGAAAUUUUAUUUCUAGUGAUUGGAAUGAUGGGAAUUUAAACCCCUCUCAGAGUAACAAUUGGAGGGCAAGUCUGGUGCCAGCAGCCGCGGUAAUUCCAGCUCCAAUAGCGUAUAUUAAAGUUGUUGCAGUUAAAAAGCUCGUAGUUGGAUGUCUGCUGGAAGCAAUCAGUCCGCCCUAUUUGUGGGGUGUGCACUUGAUGAAUUCUGGCAUUUUUGUCCCAAUAUUAUGAUGUAGAAUGUGGGACACAGAGUGUUAUUGGGCGAAAGUUCAAUAGCAUGUCUGUGUUCCGAUUCUUAUUAUAUUGGGAUACUGUUACUUUGAGAAAAUUAGAGUGUUUGAAGCAGGCUUUGAAUUGCCUUGAAUACUGCAGC
rnacentral:rRNA from 1 species